UACGAAGGGGGCUAGCGUUGCUCGGAAUCACUGGGCGUAAAGGGUGCGUAGGCGGGUCUUUUAAGUCAGGGGUGAAAUCCUGGAGCUCAACUCCAGAACUGCCUUUGAUACUGAGGAUCUUGAGUUCGGGAGAGGUGAGUGGAACUGCGAGUGUAGAGGUGAAAUUCGUAGAUAUUCGCAAGAACACCAGUGGCGAAAGGCGGCUCACUGGCCCGAUACUGACGCUGAGGCACGAAAGCGUGGGGAGCAAACAGGG
rnacentral:rRNA from 1 species